rnacentral:lncRNA from 1 species
CAGAACAUGAAGAGUUAAAGCCAUUUGUUUUCACACCUCAUCUCAUUGUCAUCACACCUCACUUUGAAGAAAUAACACCAGUGAGCAAAUUUCCUGUGAUUUUUCUCUUCUGUCAACAACUCUUGACUUACAGAUGUACCUUGCUUUAUUGAUGAAAAUGAAAAGCUAUAUCCUUUGAUGUCAGACAAACUCAUGUGUGCUUUAUCUUGGGCAGCUGAUGAAGCAUUUUCUAGUAGGACCUAUUUAUUCUUCCUGCUUUUUUGCAGCACUAUGAAAGCCAAUUAGAGAAGGAGCUAUCAAUGACAGAGGUGGAUUCUGUUACUGCAUAAGGAAUGAGUUCUGCCAACUUUAUGAGAAAGACGACUAUCUCAAUGAACAUUGUGAGCCCUACUGCUGAGCUAUCACAGUUUAUCAUGCGAAAAGUACUUCUGAGGCAAAAGAGAGCCAGAGUCAGCAAAGGCAAUAGCACUCACUAAUGAGGUACUGACAUUGCACCAUUUAAGAGUUUCUGGCUUUGGAAAAAUUUGAGGAUCCUUAAAGUGUUCAACUACAAUUAGAAAUUUCCAAAGAAAUCUGACGUUCUGUGAAAUAUUUUUGUUGAUGAAAAUAAUUCUUGGUUAGUGCUCUUUGACAAGCCAACUGGUAUAAGCUUCUGUCUUUUUCCUUCAUUUGAAAAAAAUAUACUCAUCUUUCAGUUGGCCAUUAUAAGAAUUGGAUACUUUGAGGGAACAUCUAUCACAUCCAUAGAAGAAUUGUCCUAAUAAUUAGUUAUUCACAAUGUUUUAUUUUUCCAUGUGCAUCCAGUUUAAAAUUAUCAAGAUUUAACUUCCUGGAAUUGUUUCUUAUGUCCAUACUGCUAGUUUAGGACCCA